GGGUCCGUGGUCUAGGGGUAUGAUACCUCGCUCACACCGAGGUGAUCGCGAGUUCGAAUCUCGUCGGACCCA
rnacentral:tRNA from 1 species